CAGUCAGAGGAAACCACAGCUACAGCACUACAUAUCUGAGCCAGCGAGAGAUGUGGACUUUGUCAGUCCAGACCAGCUGGAGUCUUUCAAGGAGAAGAGAGAGUUCUUCCAGAAGAAUGGUUCUCUGCCGAAGCCAGCAGCCAAACCGCCAACGCCUCACGGUACUCCCAGUAGCCCCCCCAAACAGACCCGUCCCCGCUCCC